AUGUCAUGGUCUUGUCAUGAUCCUGUCUCUAUCUCUCUCUUUUUCUCUCUCUGUCUCCCCCUGCUGGUUUCUCCUCUCCUGUCUCCCCCGCUCUUCGCUUCUGUGUCACAGCUGACUUCACUUCUCAUUAAGAUAAUUUCCCCUCCACCUGCUUCUCAUAUUGCCUUGUUAUCUGGGCUACUUCUACCCUCUCGUUCUCGUCUCUUUGUCAGAUUGUUAUCUCCUAAUGAAGCUGUUGCCGUCUGCACAAGAGAUUAGUAUUGUCCUGUCCUGUCCGGUCUAGUCGGGGUUAGGUUAGUCAUCUGCUAUCCCUGCCCGUUCGUCUCUGUGCUCACCCCUUUGCACCCCACAGAACCUUACCUGCUGUCCAACGCCGCGGCCUCCCCGCUCUGCGAGCUCCGUUCCCCGGAUCUCCCCUGAGCCCGGUCAAGCCUCCGCCUCGCCAGCCUGCUGGUGGUUCCAGCCACAGAGGUCUCCUGUGUUACUUAUACCCAGCCUGCGGGUCUGCCUUGGUUUUCACCUUUUGUACUCCUUAUUUGGAUUUUCCUGUGGCUUUUCUUUGUUUGAUUAAAGACUGUCAUUUUGCCCUCGCAUUUGAGUCCUCUUCCUUCAAUACCCAUCACAGUGAAUUGUAAAGGAUUGAACUUUUGGCCUGAGUGGGUGUUGGCACUUUUGCCAUGUCCUAAAAUGUUCCGAUGUCAAAAUUUAAAAAUGUUUUUUUUGGGAUUACUGUUUUUAUUAGCAAUAAUUUAACAGAUUUUCCAAUGAAUCCAAUGAAUAUAAUAAUACACGUGCGCUCGCGCACGCACACACACACACAGAUUUUCCAAUGAAUCCAAUGAAUAUAACUAUACACAUACGUGAGCGCACACACACACACACACACACACACACACACACACACACACAAACACACACACACACACACACACACACACACACACACACACACACAGCUACUAAAACAAUCAAAAGAUGACAAAAAAAAACAUAAAUGAUAGAGUAGUGAGCAAAUAGGUACAUAAAUAUCAUACAUUUCAUUUGAAUAUCUUUAGUGUAUUCCUGGAUAAUGUACAGUAAUCCUCAAAGAUGACUUGACACCAGAGUGAGAUCCGAAAUACGGAACAACAGUGACAUUUUGGUGGUGUGCGAUUAAAGUCGCUAGAGUCAUGUUUCUUCAUCAGAGUUCUUAUAUAAAAUACUUCCUUCAUUCACAACACAAGCAUCUUCCUUUUUUAAAGGUUACAGAGUUCAAAAUAUACUUCAUAGCACAAAUUACCCAUAGUUACAGUAUUAAGUAACAACAGUGAACAUAACAAACAAUGUAAUUUUAUUGUGGAACAGCCUUAAAGGCACAUGUUCACCCAGUUAUCAUUUACUCACCCUCAAAUUUUUUCAAACCUGUAUGAAUUUAAUUAAGCUGUUACACACAAAAGAAGAUUAUGAAGAAUGUUGUUAACCAAACAAUUGAUGGCACCCAUUGACUUCCAUAGGGUUUUUUCUUUCUUUCUUUUUUCUUUUUUUCACAAUAUAGAAGAACAUUCUUCAAAAUAUCUUCCUCUGUGUUCAGUGGAAGAAAGAAACUCAUACAGGUUUGGGAAGAAAAAGUGUGAGUGUGAGAAAACAAUGACAGAAUUUUCAUUUUUGGGUGAACUACGCCUUUAAUUAACAUUCAAAUGUGACAUGCUGCAUACAAUUUAGUGUUUGUACUUUCAAAAUGUAAGAGUCCAAGUGAGUUCAAACAUUUCCACAGAUCAUACAUCAUCUUACAUAAUAUCAGCGUAUUUGACGCAUCCUGUAAUUAAAAUGUCCUGGCAAAUUGAAUUCCUGUUGUGUUUUCAUUUAGUUUUAAUUUGGGUUUCUCCUUGUCACCAUUCAUCUUUUCAUUAUCAGUGGCUGCCCUUGGCAACUAUUUUUUAAGCUGUUCUUUCUACGGAGUCACUGUUGUUGUUUUGAUGUGAUUGUUGUGCUGUGGGCAUGUUCCUCAGGGACUGCGCCUGCACCUUAAUGCACUAAGUCAAAUCCAUUAGAGACCCAUCACUAUCUAAUUACUGAGUUUUCAGCUAAGGACAAGAAGCGUGCGCACACACACACACAGUGAAAUGCAGAAAAAAGUGUCUUAUGGGACAUAAGUAGAUGACCUCCCACAUCUACCCUUCUCUACUCUCAAGAAAUGAGAGUUAGGGAGGAGGAUGGGGCGAAAGAGAUUUUGACAGGCAGAAAUCUCUGGCCCAUUACAUCAAGAUCGAUACCGCAAGUGUAAACAUGGUGAUGUAUAGGUUCUACCCGGCUGCAGGGUAAUUAGAGUGUCAAGGACAGCGCCAUGUGCCAAAGUCUUUGAGCUGGAAAUCUAACGUAUCGCCAUUUCUCACUUUUCGAAAAGCAGCGAACAGGCUUACAAGGGAUGUACUUAUCUCGAAAAUCCUCAUGACUUGGUACGAUCGCAUAACACCUGUUGACGCUCGACUUUUCUUCUGGAUUUUAAGCUGAUCCAUCAUCAGAUACAGCAGCACAAAAUGGAUAAAGUGCUGCUGUAAGUGAUUUAGAUCUUCAGAUCAGGUACCCUAUAGUGUCCUUUUUGUCAUCCUCUGUCUUUCUUUGGCUUCUUUUGGAGCUGUC
ensembl:lncRNA